GAUGAACGCUGGCGGCGUGCCUAAUACAUGCAAGUCGAGCGAACGGACGAGAAGCUUGCUUUUCUGAUGUUAGCGGCGGACGGGUGAGUAACACGUGGAUAACCUACCUAUAAGACUGGGAUAACUUCGGGAAACCGGAGCUAAUACCGGAUAAUAUUUUGAACCGCAUGGUUCAAAAGUGAAAGACGGUCUUGCUGUCACUUAUAGAUGGAUCCGCGCUGCAUUAGCUAGUUGGUAAGGUAACGGCUUACCAAGGCAACGAUGCAUAGCCGACCUGAGAGGGUGAUCGGCCACACUGGAACUGAGACACGGUCCAGACUCCUACGGGAGGCAGCAGUAGGGAAUCUUCCGCAAUGGGCGAAAGCCUGACGGAGCAACGCCGCGUGAGUGAUGAAGGUCUUCGGAUCGUAAAACUCUGUUAUUAGGGAAGAACAUAUGUGUAAGUAACUGUGCACAUCUUGACGGUACCUAAUCAGAAAGCCACGGCUAACUACAUG
rnacentral:rRNA from 1 species